AGUGAACGCUGGCGGUAGGCCUAACACAUGCAAGUCGAACGGCAGCACAGUAAGAGCUUGCUCUUACGGGUGGCGAGUGGCGGACGGGUGAGGAAUACAUCGGAAUCUACUUUUUCGUGGGGGAUAACGUAGGGAAACUUACGCUAAUACCGCAUACGACCUACGGGUGAAAGCAGGGGAUCUUCGGACCUUGCGCGAUUGAAUGAGCCGAUGUCGGAUUAGCUAGUUGGCGGGGUAAAGGCCCACCAUGGCGACGAUCCGUAGCUGGUCUGAGGGGAUGAUCAGCCACACUGGAACUGAGACACGGUCCAGACUCCUACGGGAGGCAGCAGUGGGGAAUAUUGGACAAUGGGCGCAAGCCUGAUCCAGCCAUACCGCGUGGGUGAAGAAGGCCUUCGGGUUGUAAAGCCCUUUUGUUGGGAAAGAAAAGCAGCAGGUUAAUACCCCGCUGUUCUGACGGUACCCAAAGAAUAAGCACCGGCUAACUUCGUG
rnacentral:rRNA from 1 species